UGGGGAAUUUUGGACAAUGGGCGCAAGCCUGAUCCAGCAAUGCCGCGUGCAGGAUGAAGGCCUUCGGGUUGUAAACUGCUUUUGUACGGAACGAAAAGGCUCUGGCUAAUACCUGGGGCACAUGACGGUACCGUAAGAAUAAGCACCGGCUAACUACGCGCCAGCAGCCGCGGUAAUACGUAGGGUGCGAGCGUUAAUCGGAAUUACUGGGCGUAAAGCGUGCGCAGGCGGUUUUGUAAGACAGAGGUGAAAUCCCCGGGCUCAACCUGGGAACUGCCUUUGUGACUGCAAGGCUGGAGUGCGGCAGAGGGGGAUGGAAUUCCGCGUGUAGCAGUGAAAUGCGUAGAUAUGCGGAGGAACACCGAUGGCGAAGGCAAUCCCCUGGGCCUGCACUGACGCUCAUGCACGAAAGCGUGGGGAGCAAACAGGAUUAGAUACCCCUGGUAGUCCACGCCCUAAACGAUGUCAACUGGUUGUUGGGUCUUAAUUGACUCAGUAACGAAGCUAACGCGUGAAGUUGACCGCCNGGGGAGUACGGCCGCAAGGUUGAAACUUAAAUGAAUUGACGGGGUCAUAGCUG
rnacentral:rRNA from 1 species